UAGUUUUAUCUUUAAAAUUUAAGAACAAAAAUAAAUGAAAUAUUUUUUUCAAUUAAAUGAGUUAAACCUGGUACCAGCCCUAACCCUUGAUUAUAAUAGGUUCAAAAUAGGGUUGAGUUAAAAUAGGGCUGGACUUAUAAUAAACAAAAGAGGGCUGAGCCCUAACACUGUAGUUAACAUCCCUACUCCUUGUUGAUCAAAAUCAUAAUUUACAAACAUUGAAACAUUCGGUUUAUAACACAACACACUAAACAUUACUAAGUUACCCAUUAAACCGGGCUAAUAAGAUAAAUAUGGCAUUCGGUUUGGAAGCAUAUGGUCUUGGUGACUUGGUUCCAUUGUUCUUCUUGAUGAUGAGAAAAAAGAUUUGCACUGAACUGGUGUAGAAAUGUCUUCUACUUCCACUAACAAUAGCAUUAGAGUAUCCGCAGCUUUAACUGACGAGCUUCCAGUAAUUGAAAACAGUCUUUUCUCAGAGUUUCCAAGCUUCCCGCGCCACAGUGGGAGAAGAGAGCACAAUCCUGUGAAAGAGGAAGAUUGACGGAGAAGAGAGCACAACUUAUGACCAAUGUAAAGACUAAAGAUUUGUUAAAAAUUUGAUCACAUGAAUAAAUCUCCAAGGCCAAAUCAACUUACUGCGAUCUCAACAUGCUCUUAGUCAUAACCCAGAUGAUACUAUUUAUGCAUUGCCUACUUAAUUAUUUGUAAGAGCACAACCAUAGCACUUGGAUAGCAAUCUGUUUCCUUCCUUGCAUAAAUUGGUAGAACCCUAACUUGUACAUUUUCCUAUUAAAAAAACAGCAUGGGGACCGGGUUCGUAAUCUUCUACAAAACUAAGUCACUGACCUUACUUUUCCCCGCAGUAGAGAGACAGUAGUAGCCAACAAAGAUUAUAUGCAAAAUAAAAUACAUCUAACGAUCUCUUCUGCCACGCCCAACAACCUUCCCUGGUAACGACCACAAGAAAAAAGCAAAUCAUGAUGAAUGAAUGAGUGAUUGAACAAGAAAAUAAAAUCUAAUGAGUAUAGUAUAAUACUGGUGGCAGCAGCCUUCUUGGGCUUAACCCUUGGGGUAUCCCUGGUAAAUACACGCUAGUCUGAAAUAUCACAUAAGAUUACACGAUCAUUUAGACAAGAUGAGAUAUAGGGGGGGGGGGGGAAUUUGUUAAGUCUCGGCGGCGUCUUCACAUGUUUCUUCUAAGAAAUUUCAGCUUUGAAUUAGUCAACAUGAGAGAACUGUCGCAUACUUGAGAUAUGCUUU
rnacentral:lncRNA from 1 species